CGAAACGACUCCUUGGCGAUCGAUUCCGAUCGCGCUCGUCGCUCCGCCUAUUCCCUUUCCCUUUCUAGCCUUUUUCCUUUUCUGGAAAACCCAGCCGUGCGCCAAUUCCCUUUUCCUUUUCCAUCCCCUCCUCCUCCACUGCAGCUACCUUGCUGCUUCCCCUCCCCCUCCUCGGCGAGGUCAGCGCGGGUGCCACGCCCGCACGAGCGCCGCGAGGGAGGUGGCCAAUACGGCGAGGCGCCGCGCCCGCACGAGCGCCGUGAGGUCAAAGUGCAGCAGCGGCCAAUACGGCGAGCCGCAGCGACCGCACGGGCUCCGCGAGGUCCAGGGGCGGAAGCAGCCAAUACGGCGAGGCGGUGCCUGUCCGGUGACCGUAGGGCCUCCGCGGCGUGCUCGACCUUGCUCCUACGCCUCCUACCCGGGCUGGACCUCCCCCCGUGCGUCGUCCCCACCCGCAUCACCAAGCUUCCCAAUGGCGUCCGCGACUCCGCGUCGCCUCCGAGGAUGUCCGGGGAGCAGCACAGGGAUGGCGAUUUUGGCAGCUCUGCUCUGAUGAUGCCGUCAAAGCACAGAUUGCUCGUUUUCAGCAUGAGGAAGAAGAUGAUUUAAAGGUUUUGGAAGGACUAAUCCAGUGAGGAUGGUGGACAAGAAAAUAGAAGGAAUGUGUAUGUCAAAACUGAAGAAAAGCAUACCACCUUGGUGGCUCUGUUCUCACAAAAGAAGAUUGUUUACUGUUUCACACAAAAUCAGAUUUUUGCCAGCAACUCAUCCACCUUGGUCUCAUCUUUCGUUGACGGCCGAGCAUCAAGUAGCAGUAUCUCUGCGAAAAUCCAUAGAAGUAUCGGAACCGGCUGUGGAUAUGGGAAAAAGAAAAUGCUUAAAUGCAUCUCUGAAACAAUGGCAUUUUUUCAGUGAAUGAACUGAGACUAGCAGUUCAUUUUUAUUCUGUUGGGGGAAUCUAUUUUGGACGAAAUUCUGAACACUUUUCAAAGAGAUGGCAGCUGCCACUGUUCAAGAAUUUACUAAUUCUCUGAAAAUUGAUUUGUUUUUCUGUAGCAAGUUGUCGUAUGGGGACGCACGGCGGGAGGUCGACGGCGGCCAUCGUCUCCGAGCUCAUGAACACCCAGAUUUGAUAGGGAGCAGAACAUGGAUCUCGAUUUUUGGCAGCUCUGUUCUGCUAGCAUGGUUAGGUAGUUCCCGUCACGCACAGCUUUCUCGUUUUCAGCAUGAGGAGGAGGAAGAUUAUUUAGUUUUUUUGUAUGGACUAAUCCAGUGAGGAUGCUGGGCAAGAAAAUAGAAGGAAUGUGGAUCUCAGGACUGAAGAAAAGCAGGCCUCCUUGGUGGCUCUGUGCUCAGAAAAGCAGAUUCGCAAAACUCUGAUUUUUCGACAGAAACUCAUCCGCCUCAGUCUCGUCUUUCGUUGACGGCAGAGCACCACGUAGCAGUGUUCGGGAGCGCAUCUUUGCAAAAAUCUAUACAAGUAUCAGAACCGGUUGUGGAGAUGGGAAAAAGGAAAUCCCUAAUUGCAUAUCUGAAACCAUGACAUUUUUCGUGGAAGGGCUGGGCGUUUCGGCACCAAGGGGAUCACCAUAACUUUUGUUUCGCCAGCCUCGGACUCAGAUGUCCUUAACCAAGCAGGUGCAAGAACGGUUUGAGGUGGACAUCAAGGAGCUGCAUGAGCAGAUUGACACUUCAACAUACAUGGCUUCAUAGACGACGACCCGGACAUUGCAAGGACGACAGAAGGAGAAGAUGGAAGAUGGGAUCCUUGAAAGUUUGCUUCAAGUGAUGUUGUUUUUUGCCUGCCUGCCUGCCUACUCUGCUGCCAGCAGCGCCGGUCCUGGAGUUUUGGUGGCCCCGGGGCGAACUCAAAUGAAUGGGCCCAGUGACAGCAUUGGAGGAAAAAAUUGAUUCCAUACAUUGAUUAAAAAAAAUUGCAAAGCUAUAAUAAACAACAGUAAUUUUCCUUGGUAAAUAACACUCCAAGUCAUAAAUAAUAAUUUCAUACUUUAGGUGUAAAUCAAACAUCAUAGAAGUCACAGAGCAUAACAAAAAAAGAAAUGACACACUAGCGAACCUCCAAGCCUUCAGUAAUCAUGAGAAACGGCUCCGUGCAUUUUUUGAUGCAAAAUCAUUAAAUGAAAACGUCAAGAUAAAUGUAGUCCGUUUCAAACAAAAGAUGUUGUUCCCUUGUAGGCCUUUUUCAAUCAGAAUAUCUCUUGAUUUAUUGUCAAGAGCGUCCCAGUUUAUAGGGUCAUAGAUAUCAAAAGGAGAAGAUCCUUGUUCAUCUACACUUUGCAGGAUUCUCACGGCCACUCAAAUAUUUAGGAGUCUCAUAUGGGCAUUGUGUUCCUCAAUUGUGGUCUCAUUCUCAGCAGAUACAUGUUUUUUAGGCAGCAUGUUUGGAAGAAAAAAGGAGUGAAGGUACCUGAAGGCCGCUGUAAAUCAGUGACAAUCUGUAUUCUUCAGGCUGCAGCUAUCCAAAAUCAAUCAAGGAAUCAAGAAGUCCAGGACCAAGCCGGCAACAACAUACGAUCCAACCCUACUCCAAGGCCACUACUGUUGUAAAAACAAGAAUAUAAAUUAAUAAGUGGAUUAAGAUUGAGGGCUCAGAUAAAUGCAUCA